rnacentral:rRNA from 1 species
AAUAUUGCGCAAUGGGGGAAACCCUGACGCAGCAACGCCGCGUGAAGGAUGAAGGUUUUCGGAUCGUAAACUUCUUUGAUUGGGGACGAAUAAUGACGGUACCCAACAAACAAGCCAUGGCUAACUACGUGCCAGCAGCCGCGGUAAUACGUAGGUGGCGAGCGUUGUCCGGAAUUACUGGGUGUAAAGGGCGGGUAGGCGGGAGAGCAAGUCAGAUGUGAAAUACCGUGGCUUAACCACGGGGCUGCAUCUGAAACUGUUUUUCUUGAGUGUCGGAGAGGAAAGUGGAAUUCCCAGUGUAGCGGUGAAAUGCGUAGAUAUUGGGAGGAACACCAGUGGCGAAGGCGACUUUCUGGACUGUAACUGACACUGAGGCAUGAAAGCGUGGGUAGCAAACAGG